AAAAGGAGGAGGAGAAGAUGAAGAAGACAGAAAACUUCUCAAAAAAAUCAGAGAACCAAUGUAUUAAGUGAAUGAGAAGAGGAAGAAGAAGAAGAAAAAGGAGGAGGAGAAGAUGAAGAAGAAGACAGAAAACUUCUCAAAAAAUAUCAGAGAACCAAUGUAUUAAGCGAAUGAGCCAUCCUGGAGAGGGAGCGUCAGCGGCGAUGUGGGACAGAGCAGAGGCCUCUGCAGGUGCGCUGAAAUUUGAACUGGUUCGGGGUUGGCUCCUCCAUUGGUGGUGCUCUCCAUUGUUUCCUCAGUGGAAGACAAGC